GGGGAAUAUUGGGCAAUGGACGCAAGUCUGACCCAGCAACGCCGCGUGAAGGAAGAAGGCUUUCGGGUUGUAAACUUCUUUUAAGGGGGAAGAGUAGAAGACGGUACCCCUUGAAUAAGCCACGGCUAACUACGUGCCAGCAGCCGCGGUAAUACGUAGGGGGCGAGCGUUGUCCGGAAUGACUGGGCGUAAAGGGCGCGUAGACGGUUUUUUAAGUCUGGAGUGAAAGUCCUGCUUUCAAGGUGGGAAUUGCUUUGGAGACUGGAAGGCUUGAGUGCGGAAGAGGUAAGUGGAAUUCCCAGUGUAGCGGUGAAAUGCGUAGAGAUUGGGAAGAACACCAGUGGCGAAGGCGACUUACUGGGCCGUAACUGACGUUGAUGCGCGAAAGCGUGGGGAGCGAACA
rnacentral:rRNA from 1 species